AUUGAACGCUGGCGGCAUGCCUUACACAUGCAAGUCGAACGGCAGCACGGGAGCAAUCCUGGGGGCGAGUGGCGAACGGGUGAGUAAAGUAUCGGAACGUGCCCAGUCGUGGGGGAUAACGUAGCGAAAGUUACGCUAAAACCGCAUACGAUCUAUGGAUGAAAGCGGGGGAUCGCAAGACCUCGCGCGAUUGGAGCGGCCGAUAUCAGAUUAGGUAGUUGGUGGGGUAAAGGCUCACCAAGCCGACGAUCUGUAGCUGGUCUGAGAGGACGACCAGCCACACUGGGACUGAGACACGGCCCAGACUCCUACGGGAGGCAGCAGUGGGGAAUUUUGGACAAUGGGCGCAAGCCUGAUCCAGCCAUGCCGCGUGCAGGAUGAAGGCCUUCGGGUUGUAAACUGCUUUUGUACGGAACGAAAAGGUUUGACUUAAUACGUUGGACUCAUGACGGUACCGUAAGAAUAAGCACCGGCUAACUACGUGCCAGCCGCCGCAGUAA
rnacentral:rRNA from 1 species